rnacentral:rRNA from 1 species
GAUCCUGGCUUAGGAUAAACGCUGGCGGCGCACAUAAGACAUGCAAGUCGAACGAACUUAAUCCUUAGUUUACUAUAGGAAGCGGUUAGUGGCGGACUGGUGAGUAACGCGUAAGCAAUCUGCCUAUCAGAGGGGGAACAACAGUGAGAAAUCACUGCUAAUACCGCAUAUGCUGUGAGUAUGGCAUCAUACAAACAGGAAAGGAGCAAUCCGCUGAUAGAUGAGCUUGCGUCUGAUUAACUAGUUGGUGGGGUAACGGCCUACCAAGGUGAUGAUCAGUAGCCGGACUGAGAGGUUAAACGGCCACAUUGGGACUGAGAUACGGCCCAGACUCCUACGGGAGGCAGCAGUCGGGAAUAUUGCGCAAUGGAGGAAACUCUGACGCCAGUGACGCCGCGUGCAGGAUGAAGGUUUUCGGAUUGUAAACUGCUUUAGAUAGGGAAGAAACAAAUGACGGUACCUAUAGAAUAAGCUCCGGCUAACUACGUGCCAGCCGCGGC